ACGUACAAGCAGUAGGAGCAGGCUUUGUCCUGUGACUGCGUACCUUUUGUAUAAUGGGUCAGCGACUUAUAUUCAGUGGCAAGGUUAACCAUCUAGGGGAGCCGUAGGGAAACCGAGUCUUAACUGGGCGUUCAGUCUCUGGAUAUAGACCCGAAACCAGGUGAUCUAGCCAUGGGCAGGUUGAAGGUUGAGUAACAUCAACUGGAGGACCGAACCGACUAAUGUUGAAAAAUUAGCGGAUGACUUGUGGCUAGGGGUGAAAGGCCAAUCAAACCUGGAGAUAGCUGGUUCUCCCCGAAAGCUAUUUAGGUAGCGCCUCGGACGAAUACUACUGGGGGUAGAGCACUGUUAAGGCUAGGGGGUCAUCCCGACUUACCAACCCUUUGCAAACUCCGAAUACCAGUAAGUACUAUCCGGGAGACACACGGCGGGUGCUAACGUCCGUCGUGGAGAGGGAAACAACCCAGACCGCCAGCUAAGGUCCCAAAUUACUACUAAGUGGGAAACGAUGUGGGAAGGCUCAGACAGCCAGGAUGUUGGCUUAGAAGCAGCCAUCAUUUAAAGAAAGCGUAAUAGCUCACUGGUCGAGUCGGCCUGCGCGGAAGAUGUAACGGGGCUAAGUAGUAAACCGAAGCUGCGGCAAUGUGCUUUUGCACAUUGGGUAGGGGAGCGUUCUGUAAGCGGUUGAAGGUGUGUGGUAACGCAUGCUGGACGUAUCAGAAGUGCGAAUGCUGACAUGAGUAACGAUAAAGGGGGUGAAAAACCUCCUCGCCGGAAGACCAAGGGUUCCUGUCCAACGUUAAUCGGGGCAGGGUAAGUCGACCCCUAAGGCGAGGCCGAAAGGCGUAGUCGAUGGGAAACGGGUUAAUAUUCCCGUACUUCUUACAAUUGCGAUGGGGGGACGGAGAAGGCUAGGUGGGCCUGGCGACGGUUGUCCAGGUUCAAGUGCGUAGGCUUGAGAGUUAGGUAAAUCCGGCUCUUUUUAAGGCUGAGACACGACGUCGAGCCACUACGGUGGUGAAGUCAUUGAUGCCAUGCUUCCAGGAAAAGCCUCUAAGCUUCAGAUUGUAAGGAAUCGUACCCCAAACCGACACAGGUGGUCGGGUAGAGAAUACCAAGGCGCUUGAGAGAACUCGGGUGAAGGAACUAGGCAAAAUGGUACCGUAACUUCGGGAGAAGGUACGCUCUCGACGGUGAAGUCCCUCGCGGAUGGAGCUAUUGAGAGUCGCAGUAAUUGAUGGGGUUAGACUUCGGUCGAAGCUCUUGAUCGAAGCCCCGGUAAACGGCGGCCGUAACUAUAACGGUCCUAAGGUAGCGAAAUUCCUUGUCGGGUAAGUUCCGACCUGCACGAAUGGCGUAAUGAUGGCCACGCUGUCUCCACCCGAGACUCAGUGAAAUUGAAAUCGCUGUGAAGAUGCAGUGUACCCGCGGCUAGACGGAAAGACCCCGUGAACCUUUACUACAGCUUGGCACUGAACAUUGACCCUACAUGUGUAGGAUAGGUGGGAGGCUUUGAAGCACGUACGCCAGUAUGUGUGGAGCCGUCCUUGAAAUACCACCCUUGUAGUGUUGAUGUUCUAACGUCGACCCCUUAUCGGGGUUGCGGACAGUGCCUGGUGGGUAGUUUGACUGGGGCGGUCUCCUCCCAAAGAGUAACGGAGGAGCACGAAGGUGGGCUAAUCACGGUUGGACAUCGUGAGGUUAGUGCAAUGGCAUAAGCCCGCUUGACUGCGAGAAUGACAAUUCGAGCAGGUGCGAAAGCAGGUCAUAGUGAUCCGGUGGUUCUGAAUGGAAGGGCCAUCGCUCAACGGAUAAAAGGUACUCCGGGGAUAACAGGCUGAUACCGCCCAAGAGUUCAUAUCGACGGCGGUGUUUGGCACCUCGAUGUCGGCUCAUCACAUCCUGGGGCUGAAGUCGGUCCCAAGGGUAUGGCUGUUCGCCAUUUAAAGUGGUACGCGAGCUGGGUUUAGAACGUCGUGAGACAGUUCGGUCCCUAUCUGCCGUGGGCGUUGGAAGAUUGAAGGGGGCUGCU
rnacentral:rRNA from 1 species